UGAGACCUUGAGUCUCCUGAAGGAACGUUGAAGACGACGACGUUGAUAGGGCGGGUGUGUAAGCGCAGCGAUGCGUUGAGCUAACCGAUACUAAUGAACCGUGAGGCUUAACCUUACAACGCCGAAGC
rnacentral:rRNA from 1 species